UACAUAUGUAACAAACCUGCAUGUUGUGCACAUGUACCCUAGAACUUAAAGUAUAAUAAUAAUAAAAAAAGGAGUGAUUCUGUGUUGUAUGAGAAAGCUUGGAUUAAAUGUCUGUGUGAUGGUAUAUUAGCCAGCAUCCAGUCAGAAAAGAGGCUACUAUGAUUAUUUUUAACAUAGUGAAUUUAAUACCAGAGCUUUGUUAAACAGCUGUUGAAGUACUGAACAGGAAGAAAAAGAGAACUGUGAGGAAAUGUGUAGAUAGGAGCUGCAGCAAACAGCUACUGCUCUAGUGCUGGAGGAUCAAAAGGAGGGGGUUGGGAGAUACCAGAACCUAGAGGCUUGGAGCUGGGACCCAGAGCUGAGGAGGUGCUGCCCAGCUGGUAUUGGAACUUUGGAGAUCUGGAAUAAACCACUCUCCUAGUAACUUCGAGAAUCAAAUCAACAAGUGUGGGUUCCUACUGUCUGUGGUGUUGGAGUACUCUAUAUGGGUGUCAAUCAAUAAUGAUUCUUAAAACAGAAGUCAGGGAUUAUACCUUUGAAUAAUAAUACCUUUCCUACCUUUUAUUCUUGCUCUUACAUUGCCUAGAAUGAUGGGACUACUUAAGUCUAGGCAGAGUACGCUAAACCAUAUCUUGAAUUCCUUUCAGAAUGCUCUAUAGCAAAUGAAGCUGGUAUAUUUGAAAAGUGUUCAGAACAUUCCCAGAGAAAUAAUGCAAAGCAAGACCAUGACCUCCUUUUCAGAAUUUCUUUAUAGUCUCAAUUAUAUUUGAAAGAAUAAUGGUAGGUAAUACUUAGAUAAAACACUUAUGAUAUGGUAGAUGCUAUUUUAAGUACUUGAAAUUUUAAUUUUUUUAAUGAGACAUCUCAUUUAAGCUGUCCAAAAACCCAGUGGAGUGGGUAACAUUAUGCUGGUAGUUGUUGUUAUUAUUAUGAUUCCCCUUGUUUUACAGAUGAAAAACUAAGGUAUAAUUGAAAAAUUUUCACAAGGUCAUACAGCCUGUAAGUGGCAGAGCCAGGAUUUGAACCAGCCACUUUGGCUCUAGAGUACAUGCUUUUAAUCACUAAGCCAUACUGGCUCUGUGUGUGUGUGUGUGUGUGUGUGUGUGUGUAUGCAUAUAUAUAUAUAUAGACAUCUAUGUAUAUAUAUACACACAGGCACACACACACAUGUAUGUAUACACACACACACGUAUUUUUAUAAUCUGUUUCUUACUUAUCUGUGGAUGGAUGACUGGAUAGCAAAUCUAUUUAUUUCUUUAGCAAUGAUGUACCUAGUAGAAAUGUUGUCUUGGGGAUUAGGAGAAUAAGGCUUAAAAAACUCAAUCUUGGCACUAGCUUUGACAUUUUAAGAGACUAACAUUUGAAUCUUGACUCUUUGUAAAGUGAGGAAGUUGAAUGAAAUGACUUAAGAUAUUUCUUUCUACUUAUCAUUGUUUUAUGAUUUGUGAGGAUCCUGGUCACCUUUUAGGAACUGGGAGCUAGUGAUGAAACUUGAUUUUCAUAAUGAGUUAGCAAAGUUUCCUAACAUAUGCCAGACAUAGACUUGGUAGUGGUGGUGCUAUCGGUAGCUAAGUAGCUAGAGACUGUCAGGGACAAAGAGAUUAAAGACUUGUUUUAUUCAGAUAUUUGGGUACUGUGGGAUUGGCAAUUUCAAUUUCCAUUUUUGCUGUAUUAUCACUUUUUUCUGCAUCCAGAAAUUAAUCUUUUGAGGAACUGGCAAAGCACUACUUAGAAGCCAUUUCAUCUCAAGAUUUAGCCAUGAGAGGAUAGUCUUUUCUGGUAUCUUCACUUUACCCUAAAGGGCUAUCUACUCUCAAUUUAUAGAUGAUCUGUCUAUAAACUCAUCUUUGACCUGAAGACUGGAGACCUGGAGUCCAGAUACCAGAAAUUGCCCAGAAUAGUCCAGCAAAAACACUCCCAAAUUAGAAGAUGGAAGAUGUGAUGGUUUAGGAAACCCUGUGAGGUUAAGGAAGGGGACAUGGGCGUGUGUGGGAGUGGGUGUCUGCAGUGGAAACAGCUUUUCUUUUAUUCUCCAAGCAAUGACACUCACCUUUACACUCAUGCAUUCUCCAUUUUGCUUCCUGAUUCUUUUCUCAAACCAACAUUUUCCAAGUCUUGAUUUUUAGGAAAGAAUUGAGUCCAUGAAGUCUUUCCAUAAACGGGUUAUAUCACAGCAUGUAGCACUUAUCAGAAGGUCUGUAAAAUUUAUGGGUUUAUUUAGAGUCAAAAUGGAUUUCAAAUUAGGUUCUGAGAAUUGCCAAAUGUCAUAUUUGAUGUUUUCUUUGGUAAAUUUAGAAGAAAAGAAUAGCUUUGGCUCCUGUUCAGCAGUAAAGUUGAAUGCAGAUGCAUAGUUUGUUUUCCAAGUAACUUCUAAUCUUUAAUUGCAUCAGGAUAGCUUUUACUGUUUAUCCUAUUUUGCAGUAAAAUAACUAUGUAUCAUUGUCAUGGUGGAUGAUAUUCAUUCUGUACACAGUCAAGAAGCAUGAGGUUGCUAAGGCGAGUGUGUGUGUGUGUGUGUGUAUGUGCAUGCGCAUGCAUGUGUAAAAUGUAGGCCUAUAUUUGUGUAUGCUAAAGAGGAUGGGCAGUAAGAACCAGUGGUACCUUAAGAGGGAGCACAGGUGGUUUGUUCCUAAUUACAGGAGAAGAAAGAAACAAAGUCACUAUUGCAUCUCUGAACUCGUGGUGAUGGUUCUUUUGUCUGGAGCUGGUUUUGAAUUCAGCUGUAGGGUCUCAGAAAAUUUUCUUAGAGCCAUGUCAAACUGAGAGGGGUCCAUUGGAGGCACUUCAUCCAUCCUGCACAGUCAGAUACUGGAAGUUUGAGGCAAAUAAUUUUGUUUUUUUUCUUCAUGAGCCAGGUGGCUCAUUUUCCUGAUGACACAAAAAGUUAAGAAGCAGGGUGAGUGUGAGCCACCGCGCCUGGAUGAAGAUUAUUUCAUCAAGUAUUUCAGAGUCCACUGCUUGCUGUGUGAAUAGUAAGGCAAAGUAACUGCACUCAUCUUAUGUUCUAAUUAAAAUAGCAAAAGUGAGUAAAUACCUAUGAUGUAAUUUCUUGGGGAUUCAUAAGUGCUAUAGGGAGAAACAAAGCAGAAUAAUGGGUUUCAGAGGGAUGAGGAGAAUAUUGUAGAAAGGACAUUUAGGGAAAGCUUCUCUGAUUUGAGUGAAGAGUGUGGCAUCUGCAGACCUAAGGAAUAGUGUUCCCAGAAGAGAAAAAAAGCAAGUGCAUUAUGUCCUGAUUUGAUUCAGGUACAGCUAGGUCAUUUUGGUUUUUAUAGACUGAGAUAGGAAGUUCAGAGAUUUCAAAUGUGAUACAGACUCUUCCAAGGGUUUUAAGUAAAGAAUUAACAUGAUGUAACUUACAUUUUAAAAAAGGACAUCUUGUCACUGUGUUGAGAAUAGUCAGGAUGGGAAAGCAAGAAUGAAAACAAGAAAACCAGUUAGGUUACUGUAGCAGCCCUGGGGAGAGAGAUGGUGGGUUUAGAUUCAGAGUAGGUUUUGAAGGUAGAGUCAAUGGGACUUGCUGAGGAUUGGUUGUACAGCAAUAAGAAACAGGAGAAUCAGUGAAUACCUCUAGGUGUUUGGUUUGAACACGUAGUGAAUGGCAAUACCAUUUCCUGAGAUGGAGAAAUCUGGGAUUGGGGGUCAGAGAUCAGGUUUCUGUUCUGAAAAUAUUGUAUUUGAAAUACCUGUUAGUUCUUCAAGUGGGGAUGUUGAGUACAUGGUUGGCUAUACAAAUCCGGAGCUCUGGAGUGAAGUGGGAGAUAGAGAUAGAAAUAUAGGACUUAAUAGCAUAGAGAUGGUAUUUGAUGUCAUAAGACUACAAGGGAUCACCCAAAGGAGAGAGUGAGGAUGGAGAAAAUGAACUGAGCCAUGAGGAAAUCAACAUUGGAGGCUAGAAAAA